GACGAACGCUGGCGGCGUGCUUAACACAUGCAAGUCGAACGGAAAGGCCCUGCUUUUGUGGGGUGCUCGAGUGGCGAACGGGUGAGUAACACGUGAGUAACCUGCCCUUGACUUUGGGAUAACUUCAGGAAACUGGGGCUAAUACCGGAUAGGAGCUCCUGCUGCAUGGUGGGGGUUGGAAAGUUUCGGCGGUUGGGGAUGGACUCGCGGCUUAUCAGCUUGUUGGUGGGGUAGUGGCUUACCAAGGCUUUGACGGGUAGCCGGCCUGAGAGGGUGACCGGCCACAUUGGGACUGAGAUACGGCCCAGACUCCUACGGGAGGCAGCAGUGGGGAAUAUUGCACAAUGGGCGGAAGCCUGAUGCAGCAACGCCGCGUGCGGGAUGACGGCCUUCGGGUUGUAAACCACUUUCGCCUGUGACGAAGCGUGAGUGACGGUAAUGGGUAAAGAAGCACCGGCGAACUACGU
rnacentral:rRNA from 1 species